ensembl:lncRNA
CUACGACCCAGAGGAGCGUGAGAGGCGGUGACCUCAUCGUCGACGCUGCAAGUUUAGAUGAACUUCUGAUUUGAACAAACCUAGAGCCGGUCGGCACGGACAACAACAGUCAGAGAGGUGGAGAGAUUUCACCGGGUUUCUGCCACGAAGCCUUCAUGCCUGCUCCUUUUUUUGUUUGUUGUUCUCUUUAUCGGGCCGUGACGGUUUGUGUCUCCCGGGGACUGGCCCGCGACAACGUUAUUUGUCCUCUCAAGAAGACAAGGUGGACGUUGAUAAAGGUCUUCUGACGUCAGUCUGACCAGUGGCCCGGGACGGAACUCCUCCUGGUUAUUGCUCGUCACCACCUCUCUCAUCUGCAGGAAACCGUUGCUGCUUGAACAUUGGGAGGGCCUUCAUCUGUUGACAGCUUUGCUGGCCCGGGAUAACCUCCAUGGAUGUGUGGAGCAGGGAGAGACGAAUGGAGAGUGUGGGGAAACCGUACGACGGGAUGCCUGACAGAGGCCUGGUGUGAAGUCGACUGGGGCUUUGGGUUGCACGUGUCCUUUCAUCAGCUGAGAGACCCUGCGCGGCGGUUUCGAGUGCGUUCUGAG